AUGAACGCUGGCGGCGUGCCUCAUCCCUGCAAGUCGCGCGAACGGACGAGAAGCUUGCUUCUCUGAUGUUAGCGGCGGACGGGUGAGUAACACGUGGAUAACCUACCUAUAAGACUGGGAUAACUUCGGGAAACCGGAGCUAAUACCGGAUAAUAUUUUGAACCGCAUGGUUCAAAAGUGAAAGACGGUCUUGCUGUCACUUAUAGAUGGAUCCGCGCUGCAUUAGCUAGUUGGUAAGGUAACGGCUUACCAAGGCAACGAUGCAUAGCCGACCUGAGAGGGUGAUCGGCCACACUGGAACUGAGACACGGUCCAGACUCCUACGGGAGGCAGCAGUAGGGAAUCUUCCGCAAUGGGCGAAAGCCUGACGGAGCAACGCCGCGUGAGUGAUGAAGGUCUUCGGAUCGUAAAACUCUGUUAUUAGGGAAGAACAUAUGUGUAAGUAACUGUGCACAUCUUGACGGUACCUAAUCAGAAAGCCACGGCUAACUACGUG
rnacentral:rRNA from 1 species